AGGCCAAAGGAUGAUCGUGGAUUUAAAUUUCUCACGACGGUCGUCUGAUACACUUUGUGUGAAUAUUGAUGUAAUAAUCCAUUUUUCUGAUGGCA